UCUGGCACUUAGAGGCACUGCACAUGUAGAUGCUAUGUCACAUGUGCAUCAGUAGGUGACAGGCAGAGGAGAGCAGCUAUGUCUAUGCUCAGUGUCCUAACCUGUUAACAUCUGAGUAACUAGUUUAACAUU
ensembl:snoRNA